rnacentral:rRNA from 1 species
AGUGAACGCUGGCGGUAGGCCUAACACAUGCAAGUCGAACGGCAGCACAGUAAGAUCUUGCUCUUACGGGUGGCGAGUGGCGGACGGGUGAGGAAUACAUCGGAAUCUACUUUUUCGUGGGGGAUAACGUAGGGAAACUUACGCUAAUACCGCAUACGACCUACGGGUGAAAGCAGGGGAUCUUCGGACCUUGCGCGAUUGAAUGAGCCGAUGUCGGAUUAGCUAGUUGGCGGGGUAAAGGCCCACCAAGGCGACGAUCCGUAGCUGGUCUGAGAGGAUGAUCAGCCACACUGGAACUGAGACACGGUCCAGACUCCUACGGGAGGCAGCAGUGGGGAAUAUUGGACAAUGGGCGCAAGCCUGAUCCAGCCAUACCGCGUGGGUGAAGAAGGCCUUCGGGUUGUAAAGCCCUUUUGUUGGGAAAGAAAAGCAGCAGGUUAAUACCCCGAUGUUCUGACGGUACCCAAAGAAUAAGCACCGGCUAACUUCGUG